rnacentral:misc_RNA from 1 species
GAUGAAGAACGCAGUGAAAUGCGAUAAGUAGUGUGAAUUGCAGAAUUCAGUGAAUCAUCGAAUCUUUGAACGCACAUUGCGCCCCCUGGUAUUCCGGGGGGCAUGCCUGUUCGAGCGUCAUUUCACCACUCAAGCCUCGCUUGGUAUUGGGCGACGCGGUCCGCCGCGCGCCUCAAAUCGACCGGCUGGGUCUUCCGUCCCCUCAGCGUUGUGGAAACUAUUCGCUAAAGGGUGCCGCGGGAGGUCACGCCGCAAAACAACCCCAUUUCUAAGGUUGACCUCGGAUCAGGUAGGGAUACCCGCUGAACUUAAGCAUAUCAAUAAGCGGAGG